UUUGAUUCAUGGCUCAGAUUGAACGCUGGCGGGCAGGCUCAACACAUGCAAGUCGAGCGGUAGCAGGGAGAAAGCUUGCUUUCUCCGCUGACGAGCGGCGGACGGGUGAGUAAUGUCUGGGGAUCUGCCUGAUGGAGGGGGAUAACUACUGGAAACGGUAGCUAAUACCGCAUAACGUCGCAAGACCAAAGUGGGGGACCUUCGGGCCUCAUGCCAUCAGAUGAACCCAGAUGGGAUUAGCUAGUAGGUGAGGUAAUGGCUCACCUAGGCGACGAUCCCUAGCUGGUCUGAGAGGAUGACCAGCCACACUGGAACUGAGACACGGUCCAGACUCCUACGGGAGGCAGCAGUGGGGAAUAUUGCACAAUGGGCGCAAGCCUGAUGCAGCCAUGCCGCGUGUAUGAAGAAGGCCUUCGGGUUGUAAAGUACUUUCAGUAGGGAGGAAGGUGUGCGUGUUAAUAGCACGUGCAAUUGACGUUACCUACAGAAGAAGCACCGGCUAACUCCGUGCCAGCAGCCGCGGUAAUACGGAGGGUGCAAGCGUUAAUCGGAAUUACUGGGCGUAAAGCGCACGCAGGCGGUUUGUUAAGUUGGAUGUGAAAUCCCCGGGCUUAACCUGGGAACUGCAUCCAAGACUGGCAAGCUAGAGUCUCGUAGAGGGAGGUAGAAUUCCAGGUGUAGCGGUGAAAUGCGUAGAGAUCUGGAGGAAUACCGGUGGCGAAGGCGGCCUCCUGGACGAAGACUGACGCUCAGGUGCGAAAGCGUGGGGAGCAAACAGAAUUAGAUACCCUGGUAGUCCACGCUGUAAACGAUGUCG
rnacentral:rRNA from 1 species